AAUCGCGAACCGUUACUGCAUGGAUUACUCUCGGUCUCUUUGUUUGCUCAUCGACAUUACGAGGUCAUGUACACUGUGGUCAACUUUGUGGACGAUGAAGAGGUUUCUGGGUAAAGAUGAUAGAAAUAUAACGAAGUAACAGUGGAAGCUAAAACAUCAGACUGAUCUAGACACUGAAGAAAUUGAUGUCACUGCAAUCUGGCCAAAAUGAUACAACAAUAUUGAAGUAGCCUACUGUAAUGAAGCUGCAGAACAACACAGAGACUCUGAGGACAUCAACACAGAAAAUGAAG